rnacentral:snoRNA from 1 species
CCCCUCUCAGGGUCUCACCUGGAGAGUUUCCAUUACUCUACUAGUCUCGACUACAGGAGGGAGAGUCAAGCAGAGGCAUACCCAUUCCAUUCCUAGCUUGGGCGGUGGCUGGCGAGUGGAAGGCAGUCUGCUACAAGU